rnacentral:ncRNA from 1 species
ACCGCUGGGGGAGCCAAGGGCUGAGAUGGGCGGCGGUCCGCCCGACCCCUGGAACCUGAACCGGGUAAUACCGGCGCAGGGAAGCGGAGG